GGGUCAAUUGACCCCUCAUUUUCUGCAUUGCAUCCUCCAAUGGGAGUAACAAAAUCAAUGAAGGGUAGUGAACCCAGUAGGCAAAAUAUUUAAAAAUGUUCCUGUUUUAUGGACAACACAAUAAUGCAACCAUCUUUUUCAUCACAACCAUAAUGAAAGACAAAUAAUAAAUCAAAGGAACACUGAAAUCAGGAAUGUAAGCAAGUGAACUUAAGCUAAUGAGGUUAGACAGAAUGCAGGAUGGGUUAAACAGUGUAAAGAGUGAGAUCGAGUGGAAAAACACAGUUUGAGAAAUAAAAAGAGAUGUUAAGUGACAAAGAUUGAAAGCCUAGGAGAAAGAAUUGAGCAGGAGUUUUAAGAAAGAGAAUGAAUUCAAGAUUUAAACAAUUUUCAGAUUGAGCAGGUUUAUGUCUAGCAAGACAAGACAGAGUAGCAGGUCAGGGGUGGACGAUGAGAGAGAGAGAGAGAACGAGCAAAGGCUAGCAUUCAGACAGAUCUUGAUAGUUUUAAAUUAGAUUAAAAAUAAUAUGGCAGUCUGUCUUGAACCCACAACCUAAGAUUCAAAAAGGAAGACUAACCAAUCUUCAUAAAGUAUAUAUAAGUGUGUAUAAAUUCAUGCACCAACACAAGCAUGAUCAAUAAAGUCAUUUAACAAUAAAAUUUUAGUAAUGCUUAGACCAAAAAAUGAAAUUGAUUAAAUAACCAAAAAAUUGUAACCGGUUUUUUCAGUUUGAUUUUCAAUUUCUGUUCACUCUUUCUUUGAAAUCCAUAAUCUAAGCUGUUUCCUAAACAAAAACUGGCCGCCACCUAAAAAAGACCGCUUCAGGAUUAAACUUGGAGUAGAAACAGAAUAUUGAAGGAUAGUAUACUCUAUUACUCUGUUAAACAAGCCUAACUCUUCCUUGCUAUCAGAAUUAUUUCCCCAAUUUCUAAUGAUAUAGAAGAGAAGUAAGUUGAUACUAUAAGUCAUUCGCAUAAACUGAUGCUUGCUCCGUGAAAUAGUCAUUAGAGUGUCAUAUGCCCAAGAAAUAAAGAGCUUAAUCUUUGCUCCAAGCCAAGCAACAUUGCGUCAAGCAAUCUACUAAUAUCAAGCACUGUGCCUGGAAUCAACAACCAAAUGUGCAGAAAAGAAAGAACUAACCAAUCUACUAACACCAGUGCUAGUCCUGUAUUAAUAUAUAAUAUGUGUCAGUCCACGCACACAAGCUCGCACACAGAUACAAAAGGGCUCCAAACAAUCUAUUAAUACCAAGCAAUGUGUCCUGAACCUACAACCUAAGGUUCACAAAAGAAAACAAGAACCAUCAACUUUUAACAAAACUAGUCAGGCAGUGAAAUUAUGUACGUGUGCUUACGAAUAUGCAAAUUCACACACAACCACAAACAUAAUCCCUUUUUCAUGAGUAAACCAAAUUGAAAACCUGAAAAAUCAAAAAAUUCAGAAUGAAAAACCAAACCAACCAAUCAGACGAGUAUCAUAAUGCCCAAGAAAAUAAAUGAAAAGCUUGAUCUUUGUUUGAACCCAAGAUACCUCAAUGCAGCAAUUCCUGUUGAUCACCUUGGCUGUGAAUUAUAUAGUCUGAGUCUUAUAAGAAACAUGAAGAUCAACUGAUAGCUAGCUACCCCUAACUCCUAAUUAGGUUGUAGAGCGGAUAGUAGAAUAUUGAAACAUAAAACAAAGAGAUCAAAAAAAUCAACCAAACAGGUUAAUUUUCUGGUUAUUCCUCCACAUUUCAUUGGCCGAAGUUUGAUUAGUUAGAAUCCUUACUUCUUGGUAAUCAUGAAUUAAAGGAUCCCUUCUGCAGUAUCAUACCAAUAAGCAAAAUAACAGGUCCAUACCACAACCAAAAUGCUUGAAAGAGAGAUCAAAAAGAUCAACCAAAGAGUUUGAUUUUCUGGUUGCCGAACCAGGAAAAUAACUAUCUAGUUUUCCUCCACAUCACAUAGGCAAAACCGCCAAAGUUUGAUUAAUUAGAAAAUAAUAACUUCUCGCCAAUCAUGAAUUUAAGGAACCCUUCUCAAGUAUCAAACUAUUAAGCAAAAUUACAGGUCCAUACCACCACCAAAAUGCUUGAAAGCUUUGACAAGCACUUAAACCAUAUAAGUUUAGAUGGCCUAAACAUUUUACCAUCAAAUUGAGUUACUUUGCUGGCACACCAAUGUCAUUUCCCUAUAUAACAAUCAGAAUAAGAUGCAAUUUACCCCUAAAAACAAUUCCUCAAACGAGUCAAGUCUGUCUCACAAGAUGUCCCCUAAUCAAAAGAUUCUGUUUAGAAUGUAUCAUAAGAAUCUCUCCCAAAACAUAUAAAACUUGAUUUGCUAAAACACCAAGUGACAUAAUGAACCCUAUCAAUUAUUUAUGCUCCUCAGAUACAAGAAUUUGAAAAAUGUUUUUAAAAUCUUAAUUUUACUAGGGGCCUAUGCACCUUAAAAAGCUUUGAUUAUAGGUGCAAAAUGGUUAAUGAAGAACCAAAAUAUACUGUAUGCGACAAAAGAUUCCAAGCAAUACUUUAAUCAGAUAUCAACAGAGAUGACAUCAACAUCAAAUGGCCCCCUCGUAACUCAAGUAACCAUUAAUAAACAUUAAGCACAAUUCCAUACCAAUUCAUUACAAACUCAGAUCAGAUGGUAGGUCUCAGCUUUUAUAAUUCAUACAUGUUAACCAUACAAGCUCUAAACCUUUUUCAUUUUGUCACAAAAAUCUUCAAGGUAGUCUCCACAAUGCCUCCAUCAGCAUGUUUAAUAUUUUAACUUCUGCACCUCUUUUCACUGUGAAACCACUGAUUUAAGAUUUUUUCUUCCAUAAAACAAAGUCACCAAUCUGUUUUACUUCAGCUUCAAGAAUAAGGACUCAAAAAUAGAUUAUCUGUGAUGUAGAUCAUGAAGAUGAACGGAAACUAGUAGCUACAAUUUAGCAAAAUUUAUUCUGAAAGUCCUCAAGCAGUUCAAAGUUCAAACCUAGAUCACAGGGCAAAUGCCUACUCCAACCUCCAAAAUACAGACUGUUCGACUUAGUCUAUGUCCUCUGAAGACAUAACCUAAACUAGACAUUUAAAAACUCAAAACAUUGCACCAUAUA
rnacentral:misc_RNA from 1 species